rnacentral:rRNA from 1 species
GAUGAACGCUGGCGGCGUGCCUAAUACAUGCAAGUCGAGCGAACAGACGAGGAGCUUGCUCCUCUGACGUUAGCGGCGGACGGGUGAGUAACACGUGGAUAACCUACCUAUAAGACUGGGAUAACUUCGGGAAACCGGAGCUAAUACCGGAUAACAUGUUGAACCGCAUGGUUCAACAGUGAAAGACGGUCCUGCUGUCGCUUAUAGAUGGAUCCGCGCCGCAUUAGCUAGUUGGUAAGGUAACGGCUUACCAAGGCAACGAUGCGUAGCCGACCUGAGAGGGUGAUCGGCCACACUGGAACUGAGACACGGUCCAGACUCCUACGGGAGGCAGCAGUAGGGAAUCUUCCGCAAUGGGCGAAAGCCUGACGGAGCAACGCCGCGUGAGUGAAGAAGGUCUUCGGAUCGUAAAACUCUGUUAUUAGGGAAGAACAAAUGUGUAAGUAACUAUGCACGUCUUGACGGUACCUAAUCAGAAAGCCACGGCUAACUACGUG